rnacentral:lncRNA from 1 species
UCUUCAAUUUCUUGCCGUAAUCGCUUGUUCUCCUCCUCUGCUAAUCUUGACGUCUCUUUACUCAAAUUCUCUAUCUGAGAUUUGAGCAACAUGACAACAGAAACAGAUUCCCUGAGUAGGUUGACCUACGCCUGUGGGAAGUAAACGUCGUAAGAGUGAGUGACAUGAUUUACUGGUGAUUUCGAUGGUUCUGCUUUUUUCUUAAAAAUGAUAUGAGCUGUGGUUCCUUACAAUGAAUAUUUUCAAUGUUAUGUUUUUAAUCACCGACAGUGGCCGGUGUUGGAAACGAGUUGACUCGGCAGAAACUGAUUCAAUCACUGCUCAAUCUAUGUAACUCGAUUCGAGAUGGUGUCGAGCAUAUUCUUUGGUGGAACAUGUUCUAUUUUUUUUAUUUCAUUUAGCUAUUGUACACUUGAUCCUUCUUCUUUCCUUAUUUUCUAGUCAUGUAUGCCUUCUAAAAUGUUUGUGUUAUGAAGGUGGGAUAUGUCUUUGUGCGAUAAUGUUACUUAUAUUUUGUGCAAAUCUAUCUUUCACCAUAUAAAUUGAUAGAUUGUAAUCUCUAACAUUUAAACAUGAAGCUUAUUGAGGAUAUACUACAAUUUGCAUGUUCUUCACUAGCUGGUUUGUGAGAAAGAAGAACACAUUCUGAAAAGAAUGAACAUG